rnacentral:rRNA from 1 species
GCCUGCAUGAAGUUGGAAUCGCUAGUAAUCGCGGAUCAGCAUGCCGCGGUGAAUACGUUCCCGGGCCUUGUACACACCGCCCGUCACACCAUGAGAGUCGGGAACACCCGAAGUCCGUAGCCUAACCGCAAGGGGGCGCGGCCGAAGGUGGGUUCGAUAAUUGGGGUGAAGUCGUAACAAGGUAUC